rnacentral:rRNA from 1 species
AACGAACGCUGGCGGCAGGCCUAACACAUGCAAGUCGAGCGCGCCCUUCGGGGUGAGCGGCGGACGGGUGAGUAACGCGUGGGAACGUGCCCUUCUCUGCGGAAUAUCCUCGGGAAACUGAGAGUAAUACCGCAUACGCCCUUUGGGGGAAAGAUUUAUCGGAGAAGGAUCGGCCCGCGUUGGAUUAGGUAGUUGGUGGGGUAAUGGCCCACCAAGCCGACGAUCCAUAGCUGGUUUGAGAGGAUGAUCAGCCACACUGGGACUGAGACACGGCCCAGACUCCUACGGGAUGCAGCAGUGGAGAAUCUUAGACAAUGGGGGCAACCCUGAUCUAGCCAUGCCGCGUGAGUGAUGAAGGCCUUAGGGUUGUAAAGCUCUUUCAGCUGGGAAGAUAAUGACGGUACCAGCAGAAGAAGCCCCGGCUAACUCCGUG